AGUGCAAUUUCGUUGCACUAUCGUUAACUGAAUACAUAGGUUAACGAGGCGAACCGGGGGAACUGAAACAUCUAAGUACCCCGAGGAAAAGAAAUCAACCGAGAUUCCCCCAGUAGCGGCGAGCGAACGGGGAGCAGCCCGGAGUCUGAAUCAGCUUGUGUGUUAGUGGAAGCGUCUGGAAAGUCGCAGGGUACAGGGUGAUACUCCCGUACACUAAAACGCACAGGCUGUGAACUCGAAGAGUAGGGCGGGACACGUGGUAUCCUGUCUGAAUAUGGGGGG
rnacentral:rRNA from 1 species